GAACUUCUUAAUCUCUUUGACCUAAUUUUUCACCAUUUUCUCAAUGUGUUCUCAGAGGUUUCUUUCGAGAUUCCUGGCCUCUUUUCCUGUAAACACUGAACAUCUUCAACUCGCUCAUAACAUAACCCAAAGCCUUCUCAACUCCACCUAUUUCAAACCUCACUCUGUGAUCCCAUGCAUCGCACCUCAAAUCACUUACUAUGUUCUCUCAGACCCAUCUCUUCCGCCUCGCUCCUGCUUAUCCUUCUUCCACUUCCUCGCAACACAAAACCCCCAAAAACCAGACCUCAAAGCCCACCUGAUCCUCCUCUAUAGGCUCUUUUCAGCAAAACAAUUUGCAUCAAUGAGAACCCUUUUGAAUUCCCUUGUCACCAAUGUGGAAAUCAAGCACCCUGUUCGUGAGUUUGUUUCUCUAGUUGAUGAAUGUGAGUCUCAAUUUGGAAGUGAAAGUGAGAGUGAGUCAUAUUUUGUUGAGAAACUAUGUGACAUGUUGUUCAGGGUGUGUGCUGAUAACAGAAUGUUUAGAGAGGCUAUUUGGGUGUUUGAUUAUGUUAUGUCAAAGGGGUUGGCGAUAGAGGGUAGGUCUUGCUUUGUGCUUUUGCUUGCUUUGAAGAGAUGUAAAGAGGUGGAGUUCUGUGUGAGAUUCUUUCAUCGGAUGGUGGAAUGUGGCCGCGUUGAUAUCGGAGUUCAGUCCUUGACUCUUGUGGUUGAUGUGUUGUGUAGGAGAGGAGAGAUCGAUAGGGGUAAGAAGUUGAUGAAGGAGAUGGCUGAGAGAGGCAUUGUGAGGCCGACUGUUUUUACUUAUAAUACAUUGUUGAAUGCUUGUGUUGUGAGGAAAGAUCGAAAGGGGGUCGAGGAGAUACUGGGGUUGAUGGAGAGUGAGGGAGUGCUGGCUUGUUUGACGACGUACACUAUUUUGAUUGAGUGGUAUGCGAGUUCCGGGAGAAUUGGGGAGGCUGAAAAGGUGUUUGAGGAAAUGCGUGAGAGGAACAUGCAGAUGGAUGUUUAUGUGUACACGUCGAUGAUAAGUUGGAAUUGUAGGGCGGGAAAUGUUAGAAGGGCGUUGGCUUUGUUUGAUGAGAUGAUUUGGAAAGGCAUUGUUCCAAAUACUCAUACUUACGGGGCGAUGAUUAGCGGAAUGUGCAAGGCGGGGCAAAUGGAGGCUGCAGAAAUCUUGUUGGAAGAGAUGCAGACUAAGGGGCUUGAUCUGAAUGUGGUGAUAUUUAACACGAUGAUGGAUGGUUAUUGUAAGAGAGGGAUGAUGGAUGAAGCUUUCAGGCUGCAAGUUAUCAUGGAAAGGAAGGGAUUUGAAGCCGAUGUGUUUACAUACAGCACUCUUGCUAGUGGGCUAUGUAAAUUGCACAGGUAUGAAGAAGCCAAGAGGACCCUAAAUUUGAUGGUGGAGAAAGGAGUAACUCCGAACGUUGUUACUUGCACUACUUUAAUUGAGAUAUAUUGUAAGGAAGGAAACCUUGCAGAAGCUGAGAGGAUCUUAGGGAAUAUGGAUAAAGAGAGAAUGGUGCCUAAUAUUGUUACAUAUAAUACUCUAAUAGAUGCAUAUAGCAAGAAAGAAAAAAUAAAGCAAGCUCAUGUGUUAAAAUCUGAAAUGAUUGGGAAGGGGAUAGUGCCAGAUGUAUUUACAUACACAUCACUGAUACAUGGGGAAUGUAUAGUUAACAGGGUAGACGAGGCUCUGAAGCUUUUCAGUGAAAUGUUGGUAAAGGGCAUAAGAGGAAGCGUAAAGACAUAUACAGCUAUUAUUUAUGGUUUAUCCAAGGAAGGGAGAGCAGAUGAAGCUUUUAAGUUUUAUGAUGAGAUGAUGAGAAUGGGUCUAGCACCUGAUGAUAGAGUUUUUGCUGCACUUGUUGGUAGUCUUCAUAAAGUCAGUUCUCAUGUUGCUGCGAAACAAAAUGAGUGGUGCACGGAAAAUAGACUCUUCUGAUGCCUCGAGCUGGCAAACUCUAGUUUGUCAAUUUCAGGUGUGGAGGUGGCUCAUACAUUAUGAUUUUGUUCUUGAAGCCUGAAUGAAAAAAAAAAAAAAAAUCUUCCACAACACAGUACCAAAUUAGAGCUCUGAAACUGUUACAUUGUACAAAUAUUCUUGUGUUGGGUAAUACGUACAAACCUCCUUCCUAUAUCUGUUGAUGAAUUAUACAUACCCUAUGAUGGUGAUUAGAGACUUUGCUGGAGUAUUUCACAGAAAUGGGAGUUGGUCAGAUUUGUUCAAAGAACUAACGAGAGUCCUUCGUGAUGAAUUCCUUUCCUCCAAUAAACAAUCAGAUGUUCGACGGAGACUUUCAAUAAAGCUAUCAUACACAGCUACACCCCAGUUAUAUUUGUCAAUCAUUCCUGGAUCAUCUACUAACUUAACCAAUCCCUAUGAAACAAUACAACUUGUGUUUGGAAAAUACAGCUCAUUUAAUGCAAGAAGAAUGUACAACUUACAAAAUUCCUCUGCAUCAUCUGUACUACGAAGUUCAUCACCUUUGUGAACAAUAUCUGCUAACCGAACAACAGUUAACUUCUUUAGGGAAGCCUAAGUCUUUGGGAGCCAGUGAAAAGAAUUGGGGACAACCUAGCUACACGUGACAAACAAUUGGCAGUGGAGGCUGAAGAAGCAAUAGGAUGGAUGAGCUGAAUUUGUCCAAGAAGCUAAGAAUUAAGAGGAGUCAGAUGCUGCCAAUCUGAGAAAAGGCCAUUUGGAAGAAGUUAAUUGGCCAGUUUGCUUCAUUAUAUGCUUAUAUGCAUUAGCUAGUUAUUUUAGAAGAGCUAAGAAGAUUACGUGCUGUUCAGGUUAUUCGUAAUCAUACUUAUGAAAGUUUAGUUAGUUAAUAGUAGUUAGUUUACUUGCAUUUUCCAGCCAUGAAUUGUUUAGGAGUUGAGUGGCCUAUAAGAGGGCUGAUACGUAACACCAACGACAACUAUCGCCUCAUUAGACCACACUGGUUCCAUUCACAACGACUGAACCAUUUUUUCACAUUCUCUCUACACAUUUUUACAGAGCCUGAACAGACACUUUUCUCUUUUCUCUGCUUGGAUUCAAGAUUCACGCACCUUCAAGCCUGGUUUCAGUGACUUUUACCAUUCUGUGAAGUUUAAAUUCUCUGUAAUUGAUUUUCAUUCAAUGCAAUUUUUACAUUUCAGCCA